GACGAACGCUGGCGGCGUGCUUAACACAUGCAAGUUGAACGGAAAGGCCCUGCUUUUGUGGGGUGCUCGAGUGGCGAACGGGUGAGUGACACGUGAGUAACCUGCCCUUGACUUUGGGAUAACUUCAGGAAACUGGGGCUAAUACCGGAUAGGAGCUCCUGCUGCAUGGUGGGGGUUGGAAAGUUUCGGCGGUUGGGGAUGGACUCGCGGCUUAUCAGCUUGUUGGUGGGGUAGUGGCUUACCAAGGCUUUGACGGGUAGGCGGCCUGAGAGGGUGACCGGCCACAUUGGGACUGAGAUACGGCCCAGACUCCUACGGGAGGCAGCAGUGGGGAAUAUUGCACAAUGGGCGGAAGCCUGAUGCAGCAACGCCGCGUGCGGGAUGACGGCCUUCGGGUUGUAAACCGCUUUCGCCUGUGACGAAGCGUGAGUGACGGUAAUGGGUAAAGAAGCACCGGCUAACUACGUG
rnacentral:rRNA from 1 species